rfam:Erinaceus europaeus unplaced genomic scaffold scaffold00109, whole genome shotgun sequence
GCGCUCACUUUGGCAGUACAUAUACUAAAAAAUUGAAACAAUACAAAGAAGAUUAGCAUGGCCCCUGUGCGAGCAUGACAUGAAAUUUGUGAAGUGUUCCAUAUUUUU